ensembl:snRNA U6 U6 spliceosomal RNA
GUGAUCACUUCAGCAGCACCUGUACCAAAAUUGGAACGAUACUGAGAUUAUUAGCAUGGCUCAUGUGCAAGGAUGAUAUGAAAAUUCGUGAAGUGUUCCAUAUUUUU